rnacentral:rRNA from 1 species
GACGAACGCUGGCGGCGUGCUUAACACAUGCAAGUCGAACGGAAAGGCCCUGCUUUUGUGGGGUGCUCGAGUGGCGAACGGGUGAGUAACACGUGAGUAACCUGCCCUUGACUUUGGGAUAACUUCAGGAAACUGGGGCUAAUACCGGAUAGGAGCUCCUGCUGCAUGGUGGGGGUUGGAAAGUUUCGGCGGUUGGGGAUGGACUCGCGGCUUAUCAGCUUGUUGGUGGGGUAGUGGCUUACCAAGGCUUUGACGGGUAGCCGGCCUGAGAGGGUGACCGGCCACAUUGGGACUGAGAUACGGCCCAGACUCCUACGGGAGGCAGCAGUGGGGAAUAUUGCACAAUGGGCGGAAGCCUAAUGCAGCAACGCCGCGUGCGGGAUGACGGCCUUCGGGUUGUAAACCGCGUUCGCCUGUGACGAAGCGUGAGUGACGGUAAUGGGUAAAGAAGCACCGGCUAACUACGUG